UGCAGUCGAGCGGACAGAUGGGAGCUUGCUCCCUGAUGUUAGCGGCGGACGGGUGAGUAACACGUGGGUAACCUGCCUGUAAGACUGGGAUAACUCCGGGAAACCGGGGCUAAUACCGGAUGGUUGUUUGAACCGCAUGGUUCAAACAUAAAAGGUGGCUUUGGCUACCACUUACAGAUGGACCCGCGGCGCAUUAGCUAGUUGGUGAGGUAACGGCUCACCAAGGCAACGAUGCGUAGCCGACCUGAGAGGGUGAUCGGCCACACUGGGACUGAGACACGGCCCAGACUCCUACGGGAGGCAGCAGUAGGGAAUCUUCCGCAAUGGACGAAAGUCUGACGGAGCAACGCCGCGUGAGUGAUGAAGGUUUUCGGAUCGUAAAGCUCUGUUGUUAGGGAAGAACAAGUACCGUUCGAAUAGGGCGGUACCUUGACGGUACCUAACCAGAAAGCCACGGCUAACUACGUGCCAGCAGCCGCGGUAAUACGUAGGUGGCAAGCGUUGUCCGGAAUUAUUGGGCGUAAAGGGCUCGCAGGCGGUUUCUUAAGUCUGAUGUGAAAGCCCCCGGCUCAACCGGGGAGG
rnacentral:rRNA from 1 species